GGGCGAUUAACUCAGCGGUUAGAGUGCUAUCCUCACACGAUAGAAGUCGGUGGUUCGAAUCCACCAUCGCCCA
rnacentral:tRNA from 1 species